UGGCGGCAGGCUUAACACAUGCAAGUCGAGCGGUAGCAGAUCUAGCUUGCUAGAUGCUGACGAGCGGUGGACGGGUGAGUAACGCGUAGGAACCUGCCCAGUAGUGGGGGAUAGCCCGGGGAAACUCGGAUUAAUACCGCAUACGCUCUACGGAGGAAAGAGGGGGCUUCGGCUCUCGCUAUUGGAUGGGCCUGCGUGAGAUUAGCUAGUUGGUGAGGUAAUGGCUCACCAAGGCGACGAUCUCUAGCUGGUCUGAGAGGAUGAUCAGCCACACUGGGACUGAGACACGGCCCAGACUCCUACGGGAGGCAGCAGUGGGGAAUAUUGCACAAUGGGCGCAAGCCUGAUGCAGCCAUGCCGCGUGUGUGAAGAAGGCUUUCGGGUUGUAAAGCACUUUCAGUGGGGAGGAAGGCCUCGUAGUUAAUAGCUGCGAGGAUUGACGUUACCCACAGAAGAAGCACCGGCUAACUCCGUG
rnacentral:rRNA from 1 species